rnacentral:rRNA from 1 species
UACAGAGGUCCCGAGCGUUGUUCGGAUUCAUUGGGCGUAAAGGGUGCGUAGGCGGCGGGGCCAGUCUGAUGUGAAAUCCCGGGGCUCAACCCCGGAACUGCAUUGGAUACUGCCUUGCUAGAGUACUGGAGAGGGAACUGGAAUUUACGGUGUAGCAGUGAAAUGCGUAGAGAUUGUAAGGAAGGCCGGUGGCGAAGGCGAGUUCCUGGACAGUUACUGACGCUGAGGCACGAAGGCCAGGGGAGCAAACGGG